GAUGAACGCCGGCAGAAUGCUUAACACAUCUGCAAUUGCGUGGUGUCGCACGGGUGAGUAACGCGUAAAGAACUUGCCUCACAGCUAGGUGCACCAUAUGUAAACGAAUGCUAAUACCUAAUACUGUGUGAGAGCUUUGCGUCCCGUUAGCUAGUUGGAGGGGUACCGGCUCACCCAGGCGAUGAUGGGUAGCCGGGCUGAGAGGGUGCUUGGGCACAAGGGGACUGAGACACGGCCCUUACUCCUACGGGAGGCAGCAGUGGGGUAUAUUGGACCAAGGACCAAAGUCUGAUCCGGCAAUACGGUGUGCACGAUGAAGUUUUCGGACUGUACAGUGCUUUCAGUAGGGCAGCGGUCCCAACAGAAGAAGCGACGGCUAAAUACGUGCCAGCAGCCGCGGUAAUAC
rnacentral:rRNA from 1 species